rnacentral:rRNA from 1 species
UACGGAGGGUGCGAGCGUUGUCCGGAAUCACUGGGCGUAAAGGGCGCGUAGGCGGCCUGGCAAGUCGAUGGUGAAAGCCCGAGGCUCAACUUCGGGUCGGCCAUUGAUACUGCGAGGCUCGAGUCGACUAGAGGCUAAUGGAAUUCCGGGUGUAGCGGUGGAAUGCGUAGAGAUCCGGAAGAACACCGGUGGCGAAGGCGGUUAGCUGGGGUCGAACUGACGCUGAGGCGCGACAGCGUGGGGAGCAAACAGG